AGGUGGCUCAGCAGUAGAGUGCUUGCCUUGCAUGCAUGAGGCCCUGGGUUCGAUUCCUCAGCACCUA
rnacentral:tRNA from 1 species